AAAAGGUUAAUAUCUAAAGUAUAUUUGAUUUCGAAUCAAAAAGAGUUUAACAAAACACCUUUUA
rnacentral:tRNA from 1 species